rnacentral:rRNA from 1 species
UACGUAGGGUGCGAGCGUUAAUCGGAUUUACUGGGCGUAAAGCGUGCGCAGGCGGCCCGUUAAGACAGGUGUGAAAUCCCUGGGCUCAACCUAGGAAUUGCACUUGUGACUGGCGGGCUCGAGUACGGUAGAGGGGGGUGGAAUUCCUGGUGUAGCAGUGAAAUGCGUAGAGAUCGGGAGGAACACCGAUGGCGAAGGCAGCCCCCUGGGCCUGUACUGACGCUCAUGCACGAAAGCGUGGGGAGCAAACAGG